AAGACCCUUUUUAUGAGAGGCCGGCAAAAUCAAAUUCACAAGCUUCCAACAGCGCCACAUAACCCAUUCGUUAAUCGACGUGUUUUAUCAUUACGUCAACUUAAUCCUUCUCAUGUCCACUUCAGCAGAAGAGAUACGACGCCAAGUUGAAGACCAGAGAACUGAAUCGUCAUCCACCGCCACUUCUUAAUCGGCAAGUGCCUGUCGUUUUUUCCUCCCAUGUAUAAAUAUCAAUCCUCGCUAGACAUCUUCUUCUUCUGCUUAUGGGACACAGUGUACCGUAUCCGCUCACCCUUGUUUCCUUUCUUAGCAUACACCUGCUCCUCAUCCUGUAGAGCAAAAUUGACACCGACUUCCACUCUUGAUAUCUUGUUUCCGCACCAGUUCCCUCUAUCUUCACGAGUCACCACUCUUCUGGAUAGAUACAUGCCCAAUGAUUUUUCUUCAUAACAGGUGUACGUUUUCCUCUUCUCCCAGAUGUCACAGUUGGCCUUUCUCUCCUUCCAAGAACCUUACAUCAUCAGUUUAAUGCGUUCACCUUUACCUUCUUCUCUCCAUUCAAGAAAUUCUCCAUUUCUUUUGCUUUUAGAAUUCGCUGAUUAUAAUUUAGGGUUCCUUAAAGUCUUUUUGUCUUUCCCUCUACCAAUACUACAUCUAUCAAAGAAAGUUAAUGUGAUAUCAAUUUUAUGGUUGAUAUCACCCAAAUUUCAAGGUUCGUCUAUACAUACCUCAACCAUCGUCCUGCCAUCAUCUUCUUCGUUUUGCAUGUUUAGCAGCAGCGACCGCCAUCUACCCCUACAUAACGCCUUUUUUGUGAAACUGCUUCUUCUUUCUCUCUGUCCAUCACUUUCAUCUCACCACAUUUGUUUUGUUCUUUUUUACACCAAACAGACCAAAGGAUUACUGUAGAGACAAUCAUGGAUCAGACUUAUAAUUUUGAGUAACAUCUUGAUAGUAAUCCCGUGGACUGUCUUUCACUAUACUUACCUGGCAUUGCUUGCUUUGUAAAAGUCACAACUGGUUUUGUGAGGGUGUGGACUGUCUUCCUACCGUUUUAUAGUUUACAAAAUGAAAGCACACUGCUUUUUCAGGAUACAAGGUGAUGAAAUAUAAAAAUAGAAUAACAGUAUGUUGCCAUUUCAUUACACCAACAUACCAGCGAAAAGAAAAAUCCAAAGUGCUAAUUUUUUAAUAUGAAUGGUUUAUAAAUUCAUGGACUUAGCCAACUAUCAAGCUGUUUUAGAUCCAUGUUGCUGAUCGGUUCUGUAUAUCAACUCAACUGUUACUGAUAUAAAUUCACACAAAACGUUCAUUUAUAUUUAUUACAUGUUAAUAAUAUUUACCAUAAUUAAUUGUUUGUGUAACAGAAAAUCUAUUCAAAAAAAUCCCUAUGAUUUAAAAUGCACCGGAACAUGUAAAUGCAGGGACCAAAGUAGAUGUUUUUUCCGGUAGAAAAACUACUCUCAAGUGUGCAUUGUGUAUGCCAGAAAACUACUAUGUGAGAUGAUGUUGGUGAGUUAGAAGAUCAAUGUAUAUGUAAUAAUGUCCUUUCAUUUCCGACGUUUAUUAUAGCAUGUUACUUUCAUUUAGUUUUAUAAAGCUUUUUAAUUAAUAUAAUUUUCACUUCAAA